UACUCGAGUGGCGAACGGGUGAGUAACACGUGGGUGAUCUGCCCUGCACUCUGGGAUAAGCCUGGGAAACUGGGUCUAAUACCGGAUAGGACCAUGCUUUAGUGUGUGUGGUGGAAAGUUUUUUCGGUGUAGGAUGAGCCCGCGGCCUAUCAGCCUGUUGGUGGGGUAAUGGCCUACCAAGGCGGCGACGGGUAGCCGGACUGAGAGGUUGGUCGGCCACAUUGGGACUGAGAUACGGCCCAG
rnacentral:rRNA from 1 species